GAUUGUGUGUCUUGUGUUAAAAAGCAUGUGUAAGAGAAAGUAUCUGGUGCUACGUAAGAUCAACAACACAGCCCAUGUCUCAAAUAGCUUGUAUGUUAAAGUAGCUGGUGCUACGUAAGAUCAACAACACAGCCCAUGUCUCAAAUAGCUUGUAUGUUAAAGUAGCUGGUGCUACGUAAGA
rnacentral:sRNA from 1 species